GACGAACGCUGGCGGUGUGCUUAACACAUGCAAGUCGAACGGAAAGGCACCUUUGGGGGUACUCGAGUGGCGAACGGUGGAGUAACACGUGGGUAACCUGCCCUUGACUUCGUGAUAACUUCAGGAAACUGGGGCUACUUACGGAUAUGAAUCCUUGCUGCUACGUGGGGGUUCGAAAGAUCCGGCGGUUUUGGACGGACUGGUGGCCUAUCAGCUUGUUGGUGGGGUAGUGGCGUACCAGGGCUUUGACGGGUAGCCGGCCUGAGGGGGCGACCGGCCACAUUGGGACUGAGAGACGGCCCAGACUCCUACGGGAGGCAGCAGGGGGGAAUAUUGCACAAUGGGCGGAAGCCUGAUGCAGCAACGCCGCGUGCGGGAUGACGGCCUUCGGGUUGUAAACCGCUUUCAGCAGGGGCGAAGCUUGUGGUGACGGUACCUGCAGAAGAAGCACCGGCUAACUACGUG
rnacentral:rRNA from 1 species